rnacentral:rRNA from 1 species
GUUUCCGUAGGUGAACCUGCGGAAGGAUCAUUGU